rnacentral:rRNA from 1 species
UACGAAGGGGGCAAGUGUUGUUCGGAAUUACUGGGCGUAAAGGGCGCGUAGGCGGCCGAUCAAGUCAGGCGUGAAAGCCCCUGGCUUAACCGGGGAAGUGCACCCGAAACUGGAUAGCUUGAGUACCAAAGAGGGUCGCGGAAUUCCCGGUGUAGAGGUGAAAUUCGUAGAUAUCGGGAGGAACACCGGUGGCGAAGGCGGCGACCUGGGUGGACACUGACGCUGAGGCGCGAAAGCGUGGGGAGCAAACGGG